UCUAUAACACUGACUGCUGGGGAUAAAUAUUUAAAUAUUUGUUUAAAUUAGUGUUUACAAUUAAGUUAAAAACAUGUUAUCGACUUGUAUUCUUGAAUUAAAGUUAUUUAGAAACGAUUUAAAUGAUGAGUGUUAUGAUCGGAAUGCAACAUUCAUCCAUAUGAAGAAAUAAUUAUUUCUAUCAAACAUACAAAAUGACACUCGAUCUGAAUAAUUUUUGCAAUUUACGGUCUUGGACACAGACCACCAACCAGCUUUCUCCGGGCGUCUCGGUAUUUUGGCUAGUCUCCCCCAUAUUCUCAGCAUCUGCAUCCAGGUCGCGGCACCAGAUACAGAUAAUAAGGAUCUGAUAUUCCGACAAUAGUACAGUAUGCUGAUACCAACACGCCUACUCGUAUACGUUGCAGAAUCAACGGCUACGUAUCACUCUGGAUCAGCAGACGAUUUAUUGCUUAAAUCUGCUGAUGAGUCCGGAGAUAGCCGAUGUAGCACGAUUGGCUGCGUAUGUGUCGUAUGACCGAAUCUUCAAAAUACGCGGGGUUUUCCCAACGGUGUAUAUUCUUUAUUCUUAACUGCACACGUAACAGAUUGCCAAGCAGUUGUUCACAUCAUAAUUUAACUUUUCUUAAAAACAACACGGAUUUUUUUCUAUUGUGUUUAGUUUAUGCAGUUUUAACAAAUGCCAUAAUUCCAAUUAUUCAUUCGGGCCUACUGGCUGAAAAUACAUUCCUUAUUAUGUUUGCUGUGAAUAAAUGACGAACAAUAACAACAAAUUGGUCAUCUGUCCGCGUCUGAGAAACGAAGUUAUAAUACCAUCAUCUCAUAUUGGCAGAUAAAUUAAGACGAAACUGCUUCACUAACAUCCAUAUUCAUUGACGUUUGGGGCAUAACGUGAUGUUAUUUCUAUGGUAUUUGUUUAUUAAAAAAACAUAAGGCAACACACUACUUUAACCUCAAACAAGUUC